CUCUGUCGGUCUCACAGAUUCAGGUGCCGAGGAUCUCGUCUCCGCUCUCAGUACAAACCCAUUACUGACGGAGCUGAAUCUGAGAUUAAACUCUCUGACAGACGGAUUGGUCCCCGCUCUCCGCCGCCUCAUACCGACCCUCCCGAGUCUGAAGCUGAUCCUGCUGGACGGGAAUCGGUUCAGUGAGACUGGGAGGAAGGAACUGAGAUCUCUGCAGGAUCCCAGACCCGGACUGACAGUGGAUCUGCGAACAUCUGAAUGUGUGAACAUCCCCGACCGCGGGAUCGGGACAUUUUGGCAGAUUCUUCGUCCUCCCCGUUAACUCCCGCCCUUACUAUUAAUGGCCGCUCGCCGGGGGACCUUCCCAACGGUUUUAACGCAACCUGCUCCUGUCUCGAGCUCGGUAAUAUCGGAAGCGCUCCCGCAGUGACGCAUUUCCGCCUGUUGUCCUGCGGUGCCACUACCGCCGGUUGUGCGGUUCGAGACUCUACCGCGUGAGACCCCGGGGAAUUACGCAGACAGCAGAAGCCCGGGGGCCGGGGCUCAGUCUGGCACACCGGUGUCCCGGGUUGGUAUUAUCCCGGGACAGAAUCCUUUUGCUCCCUUUCUUGAGGACGGUGCAUUCUGCAGUCUGGCUGAUAUAAUGAUGUUAAAUUGACAAAUCCCCAGGCAGUGACCCUGGAUCUGCAGCGAUGUCGGACACGGCCCUGAUUUUAUAAGUAUCGCAGGGCGACGGAGAGAAACGGGACUGAUUAAUCUACAGGUCACGCGUUGUCGCCGGUCAGUUAAUUCUGUGUGACUGUGAGCGAGUCCGGAACAGUGUGGUGACCCACUUUCUGCGCAGGCGCAUCCGCUCACAAUUAGCCAGCGCGCGGGGUGAGACUUUGAUAAUGGACCUCUGACGUCAUUUCAGCCCGUAGAGAGUGGGCGCUCGGGAUUAAAUGCCAGCGCCAUGCAGUUUGAAUAAACGAGUCAGGAAGAGAUUUACCGACUUCGUGUCGUUGUCUCUCGCUCUGUAUGUAGUACAUCGCUACAAUAGCUUAUUUAUUACCGCAAGACAGCAGCUCACAUAAUGUUUAAUUUACAUUUACCAUGAUGAAAUCAAUAAACCGCUGUAACUUC